rnacentral:rRNA from 1 species
UACAGAGGUCUCGAGCGUUAGGCGGAAUCACUGGGCUUAAAGCGUGUGUAGGCGGAUCGUUAAGUACCUUGUGAAAUCCCACGGCUCACCCGUGGAACUGCUCGGUAUACUGGUUGUCUUGAGCCUUCUAGGGGCGAGUGGAACAAAUGGUGGAGCGGUGAAAUGCGUAGAUAUCAUUUGGAACGCCAAUGGUGAAAACAACUCGCUGGGGAAGUGCUGACGCUGAGACACGAAAGCCAGGGGAGCGAACGGG